rnacentral:tRNA from 1 species
GCCUGGGUGGCUCAGUCGGUUGAGCGUCCGACUUCGGCUCAGGUCAUGAUCUCACAGUUUGUGGGUUCGAGCCCCGCAUCAGGCU